AAAGUCACUUAAUUCACAGUCCAAUUUGUGAACAAAUAAUAUCAAUUUUUCCUCGACUAAUAUGCUCAAGCUCCAUGAUAAUGCUAUAACAUCGCCAAGCGAACAUCACCAUAAAAGCUAAGCACGGACAAACACCUUAUUCGACCUUCUAUAAAAGGGAAAUUUCUGAGUGCUUUCGGUAUAAAUUUAAAUUUGGCUCCGCUCUCCAAUGCUCUUGAGUUACCGACGAAUGAGAACUACCUGGUUUUUAAAUUGUGCAGCUAGGCAAUGCACUGUAACAUGCAGUGAUUUGUAAACUGCCUAAAGUUAUUUAAAACAAAGAGAAUUCUUUGUCCUGCGGAUAUUACGCAGUAGUUUAAAACUAUAGUUUGGGCAACUUGGCCCACUACAAUAGCUUGUCACUUGAGUAGUGAUACUUGAUUUGUGCGGACGCAUAAGUACCUAGUGCAACCGUUAUUAGAAAGCCAUAGGUGUUACCAAAUAGUUCUGAAGUGUGACAAAAUAGUAAUCUAUUUGAAGUACCUAGAGAACAGCUACUAAAUUGUAAUUGUAUAUGAUACGGUACUAAAUAGUCACGCGUGUAAUCGCUUAUUGUGAUUUAAGUUUGUAAAUUACAAGGAAAUUCCCUACAACGUAGGGUGGUUGUGUAGGCUUGCACCAGAGCACCAACCGAACCACGUGCUGCACCGGUUUUUGCGCGCUCCGUUCGUGAGAACCUCUCGUCGACGCUCUCGCUUUUGCAACCCAAAGCCACUCACUAUCCACACGCAUAGAACUGCUCGAACGCCAGCGACGACUAUUCGAAGACGGAAAACAAGUCGUCCGUUUCUCCGGUGGACCGUUUUUGCACACCGACCGUCUUCAGGGGACCUCACGUACCAGUGGUUCCCUAGUUGGUAGCCAAGGAGCAGUCAAGUAUUUGGAAAUUUUAUCUGCGGGUGUGAGUUUCACGUGCGAACGAAAGUCGAGCGAUCGAUGAAUAGCCCUAUGAACACGUGGAGUGCAGCCAA